CAAGAUGACUUCAUACACGUGGAUUUUACUCAUUCUGGCAAGUCUUGUGGCAACAAAAGCGCAAGAUUUUGACCUCAGUGAUGCUUUUUAUGAGGCUGACAAGCCCCCUCCGAAGCCAACAGUGAAACCAGCCCCACCGAAAAACCCAGAUUCAGGUAGCCUUUAACAUUAUGCUCAAGCAUAUUUUAGUUGGUAUAUUUAAUAGUUGUAUUGAUUGAGUUAGACACAUGGAAGUAUAUGCAGAGACUUAUUUAACAUGGUUUUGCCUUUCUCUUGUAGGAUUUGAUAUUUCAGAUGCCUUCAAUUUGGAUAAAAAUAAACCAUCUGGAGAUUUGGACCUCGCUGAUGUUUUGGAUGGUGCUGACAAGCAGGGUAGGGGAGCACAGGGUGGUGAGGAGACUCUCAGCGCAGAGUCUGCAGCGGCUAUGGAGUGUCAGAAGGUCCACAGCAUGAGUGCACCCCGACCGCAUGGCACGGGUGGAAGUGGCCACGUGCUGACUGAGGGUGUCCUUCAGACACAGAGAGAUACAACUGAUGCAAUUACAGUCAUAGCAGAUGAGCUUAAGCAAAUAAAGGUUGUGUUGUGUGACAUUGCAUCUACAUUAAAAGAUCUUGUUAAAAAAUGA
ensembl:lncRNA